rnacentral:misc_RNA from 1 species
AUGAGUUUGAAAGGGGUUGUUGCUGGCCUCCUCGGAGGUAUGUGCACGCCUCGCUCAUCCACUCACCCCUGUGCACAUUAGGUAGUCUGGUUCAGUUGACCUUCGGGUGCUGACCGGAUCGCCGUUUUUACAAACUCCAAAUGUAUUAGAAUGUAACUUUGCUAUAAACGCAUAUAAUA